rnacentral:rRNA from 1 species
CUUUAGUCUAUGUGAAAGCCUUCGGCUCACCGAAGAAGUGCAUUGGAAACUGGGAGACUUGAGUGCAGAAGAGGACAGUGGAACUCCAUGUGUAGCGGUGAAAUGCGUAGAUAUAUGGAAGAACACCAGUGGCGAAGGCGGCUGUCUGGUCUGCAACUGACGCUGAGGCUCGAAAGCAUGGGUAGCGAACAGGAUUAGAUACCCUGGUAGUCCAUGCCGUAAACGAUGAUUACUAAGUGUUGGAGGGUUUCCGCCCUUCAGUGCUGCAGCUAACGCAUUAAGUAAUCCGCCUGGGGAGUACGACCGCAAGGUUGAAACUCAAAAGAAUUGACGGGGGCCCGCACAAGCGGUGGAGCAUGUGGUUUAAUUCGAAGCUACGCGAAGAACCUUACCAGGUCUUGACAUCUUCUGACAGUCUAAGAGAUUAGAGGUUCCCUUCGGGGACAGAAUGACAGGUGGUGCAUGGUUGUCGUCAGCUCGUGUCGUGAGAUGUUGGGUUAAGUCCCGCAACGAGCGCAACCCUUAUUACUAGUUGCCAGCAUUAAGUUGGGCACUCUAGUGAGACUGCCGGUGACAAACCGGAGGAAGGUGGGGACGACGUCAAAUCAUCAUGCCCCUUAUGCCUGGG